CCUACGGGCGGCAGCAGUGGGGAAUAUUGCACAAUGGGGGAAACCCUGAUGCAGCGACGCCGCGUGAGUGAAGAAGGAAUUCGGUAGGUAAAGCUCUAGCAGCAGGGAAGAAAAUGACGGUACCUGAGUAAGAAGCCCCGGCUAACUACGUGCCAGCAGCCGCGGUAAUACGUAGGGGGCAAGCGUUAUCCGGCUUUACUGGGUGGAAAGGGAGCGUAGCCGGCAGUGCAAGUCUGGAGGGAAAGGCGGGGGCUCAACCCCCGGACUGCUCUGGAAACGGUACGGCUGGAGUGCAGGAGAGGUAAGUGGAAUUCCUCGUGUAGCGGUGAAAUGCGUAGAUAUUAGGAGGAACACCAGUGGCGAAGGCGGCUUACUGGACUGUAACUGACGUUGAGGCUCGAAAGCGUGGGGAGCAAACAGGAUUAGAUACCCCAGUAGUC
rnacentral:rRNA from 1 species